rnacentral:lncRNA from 10 species
GUGCCAGGGACUGGGUGCCGGUGGGGUCCGCUGCGAAUACUGGGGGUGGGCAGUUGGGACUCAGGGCCCCAGGCCCUCGGGGCUGCGGGGCCGCCUCUUCCAAACGCGCCUUAAGCGGUUUUGCAGUGGCUUUCCGCCGGAGGGCUGGGAGGCGCCCCGGCCCUGAGUCAGUCACCCUUUGGCCGGACAGGCGGUUCCCGGGCGCGGAGGAUGGAAACCUGGCGGUAACCUCUGCAGGUCGUGCCACUCGGUGUGCGCAAGCUUCUAGCACGGUGCUUUGUGCACAGUAAACACUCCAGCGGCUGUUGACCAAUGAAUGAAUGAAGAUUGUAGGCUCAAAUAUUCAAGUUAUCAAAGUGCAAAGAAUGAGAGGUUGUUUGCACUGGACUUCAAAAAUAAAUAGCCUGGACCUGUACUGUCUUACACAACAGCUAUGAGCUACUGGUAUGUGGCUAGUCCAAACUGAAAUGCCCUUUAAGAGUAAAACACACACUGGAUUUCAAAGACUUAGUACAAAGAAAAAAUGCAAAAUAGCUCAUUAGUAAUUUUUAUGUUAAUGACAUGUUGAAAUAACAUUUUGAUAUAUUAAGUAAAAUAUAGUAUUAGAAUUAAUUUCACCUGUUUUAUUUACUUUUUUAAGGUGGCUACUAGAAAAUUUAAAAUUACAGAUUUGUCUUGUAUUACAUCUCUAGAAGCUCCAACCAACAGGGGGACAGUGAAGUAUGAAGAGGAAAGCCAAUGUGAAAAAUGCCUCUCCCCGAUUCUGUCUGACUCUGUUAAAGAGGGCUUUGCUUUAGAAGCUUAACCAUUCUGAUUAUUUUGGGGGUGUGAGGUAAUCUGGAAAGUAAAAUUUACCUAAAAAUUAACUGAAGAGUGUUGUGUAGGAGAAACAGUGGAAAUUACUGGUUAAUCAGAAUAGUUUUAUACUUGGGAAGAGAAGGAUGGAGUCCCAGAAAGUAGAUACAACUGAUCUUUAGGAAACAACUCCCAAAAAAGGAAAGGAAUAAAAAAGUACUCAGGCUGGGUGUGGUGGUU